GAAAUAUAUUUGAUUUGAUAUAUUUGAAUACUGAAAUUGAAUAAAAUGCUCCAAAUUAAUGAUAUUUAUCAACUAUUACUCAAUAUAUACAUCUAUAUUUAUUUUGAUCGGAACCCCCAUCAAUAAUCAUGAGUUAAGGUCAUUUAUUUACCCAUAAUUUAAUUUAAUAAUGCUGAAAAUAUAUGUUGUCGAUUGAAAUAAAUAUAGCUGAAUGUUAUAUAUAAUUUAUUAAUACUUAAUAAAUAGCAUUAAUUUGUAGCAUUUUAUUCAAUUUCAAUAUUGACAUGACGCAAACUCAUAGUUCUGUGAUUUGAUGAUGAUGCACUGUCAUUCUCAAAUAUACCGCCAUUUGCAAGGUUAGGGUAUUUUACAGGUUAAAUUUUGCUGAUGAAAAGAAAUCAUUAGAUUUUCGACAUAGAUAAGUAGAUUUUCGCUUAGUUCCUAAGUUUCUUACACUUGCAAAGUGUAUAUAUUAUGAAUAUUUAAUAGUGGAAAACGUAUUCAAUUUUUUACGCUAGUGAGAAAACGUAAAUACACAUCGAGUGCGACGUAAUCAAUCAAUCACAAAUCACCUUGAUCCUGGGACUACUAACUGAUCAUCAGCGAAAUAUAUAAAUAAAGAAAUAUUGGAACGAUUUCCUACUGAAAAAUUGGAAUUUUAUCGAACGUGUAAAAUGGAAAAACUCUGCUCAAAUAUGAAGAAAUCAAUGAAUUGUACAAUUUCCAAUCAUAUAAAUGAAAUAUAUAUGAGAAAGAACCUCCGAAAUACUUGGAAACACUCUGUGAGAAAACAUUUAUUAAGAAAAUUCAAGUUGUAUGGUGUUCAAAUGGGAUAUGUUUGGUGCAUUCAUUAUAGCACUAAGGCACUCCUAAAAUAGAACAAAUUUACCUUUAUUUCUUCAAAUAGUACAUUAUUAUAUUUUUAAAGAUUCAUGAUUUGAUAAAAUAAUUCAGCUUAUCUAUAAUUGUAGUACAUCAUUCACUGUAACAAUUCAAGAAUUAGGAACCAUUCGAGAAUUAGGCACUAUUCAGUAGGAAUCGCUUGAACUCCAUAAGCUCCUAAAUGACUGAAAUAUGGAAUCAUUAUAUGAUCAUCUCUUAGCUGAAAAAAUAUUUGUUGAUCACCUCAGAGUAAUAAGUAAACGUUAUAUGUGAUAUGGGCUCACAAAUUAGGUUCCAGCAGAAGCUAGCAGUUUGGCGACAAUCUAUUGGUCAGCCAAUAUAUUACCAUUCUGCACGAAUUUCAUUGUGUAAGAAUUGUUGGACUACUAGCAGACACUCAUCCCCAGUGCCUUCUGAAGUUUCGUGCCAUUCCUCCUAUAGUUAUACACAUAUUCAAGAGCGAUAACACCUGAUGAAAGCAAAGUAAUUCAUUUAUCCCAUAUCCUCAAUGAAACUCCAAAAAAAAUAAUGCUUUAUGAAUAUUAUACAAAAUUUGGAAAAUUUCAAGAUGAUCAAAUAACAUUAUUUAUUUCAACAAUUGCCCAAUAUUUCGAGGAGAAAGCCAUUCCCAUGUCUUCAUCUUCGAGUUACUAUCUUGAAAAAGAAAUAUUGGAACGAUUUCCUACUGAAAAAUUGGAAUUUUAUCGAACGAAUAAACAGGAAGACUACAACCAGUGCUCAAAUAUGAAAAAAUCAAUUAAUUGUACAAUUUCCAAGCAUAUCAAUGAAUGAAACACAAAGGAAAAUCUUCAAAAUGCUCGAAAACACUCUCUGAGAAAACAUUUGGCUGACAUGAAUUUCCAAAUGGUUUGUGGUAAAUUAAACUCCCUUUUCACAGAUUGGGAGAGGUGUUAUCAAAACAUCAUCACAUUCCUCAUGAACGAGAAAAACGAGAAAGAAAAAACUGUGAGAGAUCUUCUGGGCACUGUUAGUGAAGGAAAUUUCAGUGAAAAUGGACAAGAUGCUUCAAUUGUUUGGAGCUUAUUUGGUCCUACGAUGGAUGCCAUUACUGGACAAAAACACAACCAAAUAUAGAAUUGAAGAUUCUCAGGGAUCAUUCCUGUUUGUUGGAAGGUAGAUGCAGGAAGUGAAAGGUCAUAUAGAGUAUUGGAAAAAACAAAAUGAACAACCCCAUACAGCCAUUUGUAAAAGUCAUUGCAUCGGAGAUGAUAUAAAAUUUAUGAAUGAA